rnacentral:rRNA from 1 species
GCAGAGCAUCCUACGGGAGGCAGCAGUGGGAAUAUUGCACAAUGGGCGCAAGCCUGAUGCAGCCAUGCCGCGUGUAUGAAGAAGGCCUUCGGGUUGUAAAGUACUUUCAGCAGUGAGGAAGGUGGGUAUGUUAAUAGCAUAUUCAUUUGACGUUAGCUGCAGAAGAAGCACCGGCUAACUCCGUGCCAGCAGCCGCGGUAAUACGGAGGGUGCGAGCGUUAAUCGGAAUUACUGGGCGUAAAGCGCAUGCAGGUGGUUUGUUAAGUCAGAUGUGAAAGCCCGGGGCUCAACCUCGGAAUUUGCAUUUGAAACUGGCAAACUAGAGUACUGUAGAGGGGGUAGAAUUUCAGGUGUAGCGGUGAAAAUGCGUAGAGAUCUGAAGGAAUACCGGUGGCGAAGGCGGCCCCCUGGACAGAUACUGACACUCAGAUGCGAAAGCGUGGGGAGCAAACAGGAUUAGAUACCCCGGUAG